CAGCCGCCGCGGGAAAACGAAGGGGGCUAGCGUUGCUCGGAAUGACUGGGCGUAAAGGGCGCGUAGGCGGCGAUCAAAGUCAGGCGUGAAAUUCCUGGGCUCAACCUGGGGGCUGCGCUUGAUACUUGGUUGCUUGAGUGGGGAAGAGGGUCGUGGAAUUCCCAGUGUAGAGGUGAAAUUCGUAGAUAUUGGGAAGAACACCGGUGGCGAAGGCGGCGACCUGGUCCUUGACUGACGCUGAGGCGCGAAAGCGUGGGGAGCAAACAGGAUUAGAUACCCGGGUAGUCCCUGUCUCUUAUAC
rnacentral:rRNA from 1 species